GGCAGUGGCGCCAUGCCUACACAUGCAGUCGACGAACUCUUCGGAGUUAGUGGCGGACGGGUGAGUAACACGUGGGAACGUGCCUUUAGGUUCGGAAUAACUCAGGGAAACUUGUGCUAAUACCGAAUGUGCCCUUCGGGGGAAAGAUUUAUCGCCUUUAGAGCGGCCCGCGUCUGAUUAGCUAGUUGGUGAGGUAAAGGCUCACCAAGGCGACGAUCAGUAGCUGGUCUGAGAGGAUGAUCAGCCACAUUGGGACUGAGACACGGCCCAAACUCCUACGGGAGGCAGCAGUGGGGAAUCUUGCGCAAUGGGCGAAAGCCUGACGCAGCCAUGCCGCGUGAAUGAUGAAGGUCUUAGGAUUGUAAAAUUCUUUCACCGGGGACGAUAAUGACGGUACCCGGAGAAGAAGCCCCGGCUAACUUCGUGCCAGCAGCCGCGGUAAUACGAAGGGGGCUAGCGUUGCUCGGAAUUACUGGGCGUAAAGGGAGCGUAGGCGGACAUUUAAGUCAGGGGUGAAAUCCCGGGGCUCAACCUCGGAAUUGCCUUUGAUACUGGGUGUCUUGAGUAUGAGAGAGGUGUGUGGAACUCCGAGUGUAGAGGUGAAAUUCGUAGAUAUUCGGAAGAACACCAGUGGCGAAGGCGACACACUGGCUCAUUACUGACGCUGAGGCUCGAAAGCGUGGGGAGCAAACAGGAUUAGAUACCCUGGUAGUCCACGCCGUAAACGAUGAUUGCUAGUUGUCGGGAUGCAUGCAUUUCGGUGACGCAGCUAACGCAUUAAGCAAUCCGCCUGGGGAGUA
rnacentral:rRNA from 1 species